rnacentral:rRNA from 1 species
AUUGAACGCUGGCGGCAGGCCUAACACAUGCAAGUCGAACGGUAACAGGAAGCAGCUUGCUGCUUCGCUGACGAGUGGCGGACGGGUGAGUAAUGUCUGGGAAACUGCCUGAUGGAGGGGGAUAACUACUGGAAACGGUAGCUAAUACCGCAUAACGUCGCAAGACCAAAGAGGGGGACCUUCGGGCCUCUUGCCAUCAGAUGUGCCCAGAUGGGAUUCGCUAGUAGGUGGGGUAACGGCUCACCUAGGCGACGAUCCCUAGCUGGUCUGAGAGGAUGACCAGCCAGCCUGGAACGGAGACACGGUCCAGACUCCGACGGGAGGCAGCAGUGGGGAAUAUUGCACAAUGGGCGCCAGCCUGAUGCAGCCAUGCCGCGUGUAUGAAGAAGGCCUUCGGGUUGUAAAGUACUUUCAGCGGGGAGGAAGGCGAUGUGGUUAAUAACCGCGUCGAUUGACGUUACCCGCAGAAGAAGCACCGGCUAACUCCGUGCCAGCCGCCGCAGUAA